rnacentral:rRNA from 1 species
AAGCUCGUAGUUGAAUUUCGGGGUUCUACCGUCGGUCGGGCUACCAAGUCUGUACUGGUGUGUAGAAUUUCUACCUUCUGGGGAACCAUCAUGUUAUUAAUUUAGCGUGGUGGGAAACCAGGACCUUUACCUUGAAAAAAUUAGAGUGUUCAAAGCAGGCUUAUGUCUGAAUACAUUAGCAUGGAAUAAUAGAAUAGGACGGUGGUCCUGUUUUGUUGGUUUCUGAAUCACCGUAAUGAUUAAUAGGGAUAGUUGGG